rnacentral:rRNA from 1 species
AAUCCUGGCUCAGAUUGAACGCUGGCGGCAGGCCUAACACAUGCAAGUCGAACGGUAACAGGAAGAAGCUUGCUUCUUUGCUGACGAGUGGCGGACGGGUGAGUAAUGUCUGGGAAACUGCCUGAUGGAGGGGGGAUAACUACUGGAAACGGUAGCUAAUACCGCAUAAUGUCGCAAGACCAAAGAGGGGCACCUUCGGGCCGUCUUGCCAUCGGAUGUGCCCAGAUGGGAUUAGCUAGUAGGUGGGG